rnacentral:pre_miRNA from 1 species
CUACUACUCCCUCCGUCCCGAAUUACUUGUCGCAGAAAUGGAUGUAUCUAGAACUAAAAAAUGUCUAGAUACAUCCAUUUCUACGACAAGUAAUUCUAAACGGAGGGAGUAGUAA